AUAUACAUGCAUGACGAAGACUCGUGCUUGCAUGAUCAGUUAAUGUCUCUUGUUGCUUCUUACUACUGUGCUCCUGCUACUGUAUUGUUAUAAUUAUAUAUAGCGGGUAAUUUUCGUGAGGUAAAAAUAUUCGUUAUUUUCGUGGGCAAGCUGACCUCCACGAAAUUUUAACAAGAGAAAGAUAUUAGCAGCUUUCUUGGAGAAAUGUCUGGAGCAGUAUACACAAUGUAAGUGUGGAUAGUCAUGCAUGCUCUAACACAUAAUGGAUGUGCAUGUGUUCACAGAUCACGUCCAGUUUAUCAGCAAAACUUUGACCAACCAGAAGCUAGGCCCAUUCGUUGAUGCAGACAGAAUGAUGCCAGAGGCAAAAUCUGUCGCGAAUGGCAUCACUAUUGUACACCGAGAAAGAUUUUGGCAUAUUUUCUAAAUCACUUCCAAUUGAUCAGCGACAUUAAUUCUGCCUCGACAGUUGAAACUGACCAACUGACCCUGAACACCUGUUAAAUAGUCUAAGCAGCACCUUCUGAAUUCUAGGAAAAUAUGGUUCGAGGCUGAGAGGAAAGUUGAGGAGCUCGUGAAGAAAACAAACGUCUCAGAAAAGAAAUGAAGUGUAUAGGUUCUAUUGUAAAACGAUCACCACUCCAUCGAUACUCAUAUGCAUGUGUUGUGUCAUGUAAUCUCUCCCCAUGCAUAUACCUACAUGUAUACGUAUAGCUAUUGUUUGUUUAUGUGAAGGAUUGUACAAUCUGCAUCAGUAUUCAAUUUAUGUGUUUAUAAAAUUUA